UACGUAGGGGGGCAAGCGUUUGUCCGGAAUCAUUGGGCGUAAAGCGCGCGUAGGCGGCCCCGGUCAGUCCGUUGUGAAAGUCAAAGGCUCAACCUUUGAAUGCCGACGGAUACUGCCGGGCUAGAGUCCGGAAGAGGCGAGUGGAAUUCCUGGUGUAGCGGUGGAAUGCGCAGAUAUCAGGAGGAACACCUAUAGCGAAGGCAGCUCGCUGGGACGGUACUGACGCUGAGGCGCGAAAGCGUGGGGGAGCGAACAGG
rnacentral:rRNA from 1 species